GAUGAACGCUGGCGGCGUGCCUAAUACAUGCAAGUCGAGCGAACGGACGAGAAGCUUGCUUCUCUGAUGUUAGCGGCGGACGGGUGAGUAACACGUGGAUAACCUACCUAUAAGACUGGGAUAACUUCGGGAAACCGGAGCUAAUACCGGAUAAUAUUUUGAACCGCAUGGUUCAAAAGUGAAAGACGGUCUUGCUGUCACUUAUAGAUGGAUCCGCGCUGCAUUAGCUAGUUGGUAAGGUAACGGCUUACCAAGGCAACGAUGCAUAGCCGACCUGAGGGGGUGAUCGGCCACAUUGGAACUGAGACAGGGUCCAGACUCCUACGGGAGGCAGCAGUAGGGAAUCUGACGCAAUGGGCGAAAGCCUGACGGAGCAACGCCGCGUGAGUGAUGAAGGUCUUGGGAUCGUAAAACUCUGUUAUUAGGGAAGAACAGAUGUGUAAGGAACUGUGCAGAUCGUGACGGUACCUAAUCAGAAAGCCACGGCUAACUACGUG
rnacentral:rRNA from 1 species